AUUUCUUUAAAUUGAGUUUUAUAGAUUUUCUGUUUUAAUUUAGAAUUAAAAUGGUUUAUGUUUUGUGUUUUAUUUCUUUGCUAACACUUUUGUUUUGGAUUGAAACACAAUACUGUACAUUUUACAUCCACAUACACACAGCCAGUUAAUUAUUUAGCAUUUAGAAUACAAAUAUAGCUAUAUAAAACACAACUAGGCAUAUAUAAAACAUGAUUAGCAUUAGUGGGCUGUAAUGAUUGUAACAAAUAAUAUUUCGUUGGUUUAGAGGACAGGGUAUUGCUGAGUAUCGUAAUGUUGCUAUAUUGUUUACAAUAUGAAUGCAGAACCUAUGGUAGAUCAACUGUAUUUACAAGGCUCGGAACGUAAAUAAACAGAGAGCAUGUAGCCACCCGGAAUGUUUACUAUCUAGGUCGAUCAUGUUGUCAGUUGGGCUUGCUGUUAUUCUGUCAAUUGUUAUUUAUUUUGUGUGGCUAAAAAGAAUAUAUCGUCAAUACCGACAGUGCGUAGCACAGAAUGGGACUGGAUAUAUUGUAUCAUUAAUCCAAAAGGCUUCUAUUGCAAAAGACCCAGACGGAAUUUGUUCUCACGGUAAACAUAGAGAAGAUGGAUUACCAUGGCCACACGCUGACGGGCAGGACCAAGUUUCCAAAAAUCUCCGAGUGCUUUUUGUAACGGCGCAUCCCGAUGACGAGUGCAUGUUCUUUGCUCCGGCUAUCAUACAUUUUGUGAAGUUAAAUGUUUCGGUGUACUUGUUAUGCUUGUCGGCAGGAAAUUACUACAAUCAAGGAGAGAUUCGGAAGAAGGAACUUCUCAAGAGCUGUGGUGUUCUAGGAAUCCCAGCAGCUCAUCUGACGGUCAUUGACUGCAGCGAGCUUCCGGACCAUCCCAGAGUGCAAUGGGACACAGACCUUGUCUCAACGCUGAUCCUCAAGCAAGUAGAAGCCAGCGCUGUUAACCUGGAUGCUGCGCUCUUGCCUUGGAAACAGUGAAUAUCUUCAGGAAGUACGUCUCCAUCUUCGAGCUGCCCAUUAGCUGGUUCAUUGCCUCUGACUUUAUUUCCAUCAUAUGGAAAAGGGAAUACGGGCAAGCUAAGAGAGCCAUGUGUUGCCAUGACAGCCAGAUGCUGUGGUUUCGCCAGGUCUACCUGCUGUUUUCACGCUACAUGUUCAUUAACACAUUCCGGCUGAUCUCGGAAGAACGACAGCGCUAGAAAACCGGAAGAACUGGCCUUUUAUUUAUUUUUUGUUAACACUGUACUGUUUGAAUUGGCACACAUGUAGUAUCAGCACCCGACAGAAUAUUAGAAACAUCUGCCAUAUCAAGUGAAUCAUUUGAGGGACGAUCAGUUUCCAAAGCAUGUGUUAAAUAUGGCAGGUGUUUCUUUUCCUGCUUUUAUCCAUCCCCUGUAUAUCUUUGUAUCUUUUAUUAGUGUGAAUUUACUGUGCAACCAUGUAUACAAUCAAAUGACAUAGUAAUUACAGAUCUCUAUCAAUUAAAACAGUAGUACCAAACUUUUCCUUUAUGGAAGGAUCACGCAGUUAACAGACUGUCUGAAUGCCAACCUGCUGUACACGAGUGGUUUAUACCUGUGAACCUUUGACCCAAAAAAAAAAAAAAAAAGCUUACAGCGCUAGAAGCUCUGAGCAGCACAGUGAACAGCCAGCAUAAUAACUAUAGUGUAUGCUCCAUAUCACCCCCAAAGCAGUUUCAAUGGCGCUACUCAUUACUUGGAAAUAAGUUUUCUUUUCGUAGGUCAUCCCAGGUUCCAAUACGAGCUUUGCUAGACAAAGUAUACACUGUGCAUAGUAAAAUCUGGACUGGCUCUAUGAAUGCUGCUGUACAUUGUGAGUCUUUCAUCCAAUCUGUGUUGAAGGAAUUGCAUCACUGUGUGUACUAUAUGUACCUAUCCUUGGCCUAUGAGUGGCUAUGAAUCUCCAGUUCAAAGGAGGACAGAUACAGUGUAUCAUAUCAUGUACUGUAUUGGUGUUUAAGAAAACACAUUUUGUUAUAUUGAAUAAAAUGUAGACAACGAUUGAACUGAAA